GCGGCCUUUCGGCGCCCGGCUGGCCGGCAUCCUCUUCGGCGGGAUGCUGCUGGUGGUCUGCGCGUUCGCGUGGUUCGGCUUCGACGAGGCCACCC
rnacentral:tRNA from 1 species